rnacentral:rRNA from 1 species
UACUCGAGUGUCGAACGGGUGAGUAACACGUGGGUGAUCUGCCCUGCACUUCGGGAUAAGCCUGGGAAACUGGGUCUAAUACCGGAUAGGAGCCAUUUUUAGUGUGAUGGUUGGAAAGUUUUUUAGGUGUAGGAUGAGCUCGCGGCCUAUCAGCUUGUUGGUGGGGUAAUGGCCUACCAAGGCGGCGACGGGUAGCCGGCCUGAGAGGGUGGACGGCCACAUUGGGACUGAGAUACGGCCCAG